GGCGUGAUAGGAAACUGUGAUGAAGAAAUCAAUUACGGUAAUGGUCGGAGAAGGAAACGACGGUGAAGAAGCGGUGGUGAUGGAAACGGCGGUGAAGAAUCGGUGGUGAAGGGAACGGCGGUGAAGACAGUGAAGGAGAGUGUUUUGUGUUUUUUUUGUAACAAUAGGAAGUGUUUUUGUGUGAGUGUGAGGAUUCUAUUUUCAAUUGUUUUGUUUUUUUUGGAAAAAGAGUGAUUCAAUUUUAACAAGGGGCCAAGAUGAAAUUUUUGGUCAUGGGAACAAAAACACUGCGACUGUUGUAGAAACCGUCACAUAAACAGUUGCAAAUGUCUUUACAAAAUCACAUUGCGACAGUUUUUUUCAAGUUGUCGCAAUGGAAGUGUCGCAAAAUUCUUAUUUUCUUGUAGUGU
rnacentral:lncRNA from 1 species